UACGGAAGGCAGCAGUAGGGAAUCUUCCGCAAUGGGCGAAAGCCUGACGGAGCAACGCCGCGUGAGUGAUGAAGGUCUUCGGAUCGUAAAACUCUGUUAUUAGGGAAGAACAAACGUGUAAGUAACUGUGCACGUCUUGACGGUACCUAAUCAGAAAGCCACGGCUAACUACGUGCCAGCAGCCGCGGUAAUACGUAGGUGGCAAGCGUUAUCCGGAAUUAUUGGGCGUAAAGCGCGCGUAGGCGGUUUUUUUAAGUCUGAUGUGAAAGCCCACGGCUCAACCGUGGAGGGUCAUUGGAAACUGGAAACUUGAGUGCAGAAGAGGAAAGUGGAAUUCCAUGUGUAGCGGUGAAAUGCGCAGAGAUAUGGAGGAACACCAGUGGCGAAGGCGACUUUUCUGGGUCUGUAACUGACGCUGAUGUGCGAAAGCGUGGGGAUCAAAUGGGAUUAGAUACC
rnacentral:rRNA from 1 species